UAUAGCCAAGCGGUAAGGCAACGGACUUUGACUCCGUGAUGCGCUGGUUCGAAUCCAGCUAUAUAGAU
rnacentral:tRNA from 2 species